rnacentral:rRNA from 1 species
CUCCGGGUGAUCCCGCCGGGACCUGACUGCUAUCGGAUUGGUACUAAGCCAUGCGAGUCGUUGUAGCAAUACAAGGCGGACGGCUCAGUAACACGUAGUCAACCUAACCUAUGGACGUGGAUAACCUCGGGAAACUGAGAAUAAACCGCGAUAGAUCAUUAUGCCUGGAAUGGCUUAUGGUUCAAACAAUUUAUUGCCGUAGGAUGGGACUGCGGCCUAUCAGCUUGUUGGUGAGGUAAUGGCCCACCAAGGCUAUAACAGGUACGGGCUCUGAGAGGAGAAGCCCGGAGAUGGGUACUGAGACACGGACCCAGGCCCUAUGGGGCGCAGCAGGCGAGAAACCUUAGCAAUGUGCGAAAGCACGACUAGGUUAAUCCGAGUGAUUUCUGUUGAAGAAAUCUUUUGUCAGUCGUAAAACCACAGACGAAUAAGGGGUGGGCAAGUCUGGUGUCAGCCGCCGCGGUAAUACCAGCACCUCGAGUGGUCAGGAGGUUUAUUGGGCCUAAAGCAUCCGUAGCCGGCUACGCAAGUCUCCGGUUAAAUCCAGCUGCUCAACAGAUGGGCUGCCGGAGAUACUACAUAGCUAGGGAGCGGGAGAGGUAGACGGUAUUCUGUGGGUAGGGGUAAAAUCCACUGAUCCAUCGAGGACCACCAGUGGCGAAGGCGGUCUACCAGAACGCGUUCGACGGUGAGGGAUGAAAGCUGGGGGAGCAAACCGGAUUAGAUACCCGGGUAGUCCCAGCUGUAAACGAUGCAAACUCGGUGAUGCAUUGGCUUAUGGCCAAUGCAGUGCCGCAGGGAAGCCGUUAAGUUUGCCGCCUGGGAAGUACGGACGCAAGUCUGAAACUUAAAGGAUUGGCGGGGGAAGCA